AUCAUGACCUGAGCCGAGGUCACACAUUUAACCGACUGAGCCACCCAGGCGCCCCUAAAGACUUUGUAUUUUAAAGCAGUUUUAUGUUCACAGCAAAACUGAAAGACAAGGUGUCUCAUCUACCUUCUGUCCCCACACAUACACAACCUCUCCCACUAGAGUGGGACCUUUGUGGCAGCUGAUGAACCUAUAUUGACACAUCACAAUCAGUAAAAGUCCGCAGUUGACAGGAGGGUUCACUUUCGGUGUUGGACAUUCUAUGUGUUUGGACAAACGUAUAAGGACACGCACCUGCCAGUAUAGCAUCACAGAAUACUUUCAUUGCCCUAAAAACCCUCUGUGCCCGGCUUAUUCAUUGAUUCCUCCCCGUCGCCCUGGCAACCACUGAUGCUUUCGCUAUUUCCAUAGCUUUGCCUUUUUCCAGAAUAGUUGGAAUCAUACAGUACGUAGACUUUUUAGAUUGGCUGUCUUCAUUUAGUAAUACGCAUUUGACAAGCAUCCACGUCUUUACGUGGCUUGAUAACUCAUUUUGUUUCAGCACUGAAUAAUAUUCCAACGUUUGGAUGUACCACUGUUUAUCCCCUGACCGCUUCCAAGUUUUGGCAAUUAUGAAUCAAGCUGCUGUAAACAUCCGGGUGCAGGUUUUUGUGUGGACAUGUUUUCCGCUCUUUGGGGUGAAUACCAGGGAGCAAGGUCACCGGAUCCCACGGUAAGAGUAUGGUUAGGUAUGUAAGAAACCACCUACUGUCUUCCAAAGUGGCUGUGCCAUUUACACCCCAACCACUAUGGAUGAGCUCCUGCGGCUCCCCAUUUGGUGUUGGCAGUCCUCUGGGUUUUGGCCAUUCUAAUGGAUGUGUAGUGAUUAAAAUGGCCCUUUUCUUAGAAAUAGUCUUGUGUAAUAAGCAAAAGUGCAAUUUCUUGUGCACAUGUGGGCACAGCUCCUUACCUGCCCCUCGACGUAUGGUGAUGCUGAGUGACAGCAACUCUCUUUACCUCAUUUCCCACCUGUGUGCAAAAAGGGACAGAGCUAGAGCUGAUUCACCAGCCUGUCUUCCGCCAGGGCAUUCUACUAACCGCUCUAGGUCUCAAAAGUUACUCCCUCACCCAUCAAUUCAUUCAACUCACAUGUAUCGAAUGCCUCCCACGAGUCAGAUGCCUUCCUGCUCAACUUUUUUAAUGAUGACCUGAAUUUAUCUGGUUUUAACACAUGUCCAUUCCUAGGUAGACAUUUUAUUCACUCCCUUCUCUGUUGUCUCCAUUCUGGCUUGGCAAGGUAAGAAACCAAGGGUACAUCCAGCUCAAGCCAAUGAGGAAGAGAAGUGGGGCUAAACGGGGCUUGGGAAGACCCUUGGAAGCAUAUUCUGAGAGCAGAUUUGGUAACCUCGCUAUGGUGUCUACUCACAGAAUUAUGAGGGGAAACCCAAUCGGUAGUCGAACCACCGUAUCACAAAAACUAGCUUGCACGUUGAUCUUAUAUGUUCUUUAAGGGCCUUGUGACAAUACACGAGCAAGGCCUUUCUGAGUUCAAAUAUUGGAUCUGCGCUUACUUUCUAUGUGAACUUGGGUUGUUUAUUCAAUCCCUCUGGAUCUUCAAGAGGGUUGUAGAGUUGCAGAGUUGUCUGUGAAGAAACACAAUAAGGCCGAACACACACAUAUGACUUACCUGGCACAUACCAGGUGUCAUUUGUGAUCAUUCCUGUAUCUCCAGGAACCAGGUCUCAUUUUUCUGUGACCCCCCAAUACGCACAGUGCUCAGAGAAUAUGUUUUAUUUUAAACUAAAUGGAUUUCUGCCCUGCUUAACCCACUAUUUGGAUCGGGUUCUCUUCAAUGGGAAUUAAAAAUGUCAGUGCUUACUUUUAUAUUCUCUAAGUGUCUCUAAUGCCUUUCCCCAAACAUUAGAAUCAUGGCUAGUGUUUGCUCCUAAAACGCAAGGAUUUUUAAGCUAGAAAAUCCAAACAAAGCCACAAGAGAUCUUGGCUUUGUGGUUGGGGGUCUCAACUGGGGAGAAAAGACAAAUUCUAAAUUACAGCAUUGUUUGGCCAAUGUGGGACAAUUUCAAGGCUCUUUCGCGGGGCAUUUUCUGGGGGUGAGAGAGAAGACUAGUCAUGAAGUCUCUGCAACGCGCCCCCCCCCCCCCGGAGGCAUCAUCUGUACUAAGACUGCACAAAGCACAAUGCUUUGUGAAACCCAGGGCAUGCUUAUUAAGGGCUUGGAAGGAUCUUGUCAAGAUUCUAGUGGCAUCUCGCCCAAAAGGAUGUGCACGGGUGAGAAGUAUUUCACUUCCUUCUGAAACUGUGCCUCACUUUCUCUACCCAUCAAAUGGGAUGUCUUUGCCCCAUCCCAUCCCUAGAAUGUUCUGAAGAUACAUUCAAACCCAUACAUGAGAAAGAGCUCUAAAACACACGCAUGAAAUAUCUCCUCCAUUAUUCCAGGUGAGGCAACAGGGCAGUGUUUCAAAGGACAUGGACACCAGGCUGGAGAGAAUUAGGUGUGAAACCACUUACGUGCCUCCAGUUCUCAUCUGGAAAGUGCAGACAACUACCUUAUAGGGGAGAUGGCAGGACGAAGUGAGCAGCUGCUGGCCAUUCAUAAAGUCCUGCCACAAAUCUGACCGGUGCCCCCAGCAGCCCCGUGAGGUGAUUGGAAGCUGAGACACCAAGAGAGGAGGCCAAAGUCACACAGCCAAGGAGGAGCCUGCACUCCAGCUCAGAGCUUCUGACCCCCCCGGUGCUGCUGGCUUCCCUCAAACAGCAUCAGAGGGCAGAUCUCCCAUGUACUGAUGCAUCUUGUGGCAGCCAAGAGACGCAGAACAGACCACCUGCAUGGCUCUCCAUGGAGGGCAAAGUUGGGGAAUUGUGCAGACCAGCCUCCAGUUCCAGGCUUGGCAGUGAAUCUGAGGAAUACUCACCAACUCGUAUUUAAAAAAAAAAAAAAAGCUCUGUUUCCUUCCUGAAUCAAAGGAAAUGCUAUAUCCCUUGGCAGUGCAGCCCGAAUAACUUCAGCGACUCCCACAGUGAUUCAGACACCGCCCCCUACAACAGGCUGUUGUCUUUCCUCCCCUCCCGGUGCCAAGUCCCAGGGUUUGCCCAGCCCGGCUCGGGAGUCCCCAGGCCCAGCUGCUCGGCCCCAGCGAGCCAGACCGGGAGGUGGAUCGGGGCAACCAGCCUGGGGCAAUCUGAAAAAGUCAUCUUCCAGGAAAUUCCAGACACAAGGCGCCCUGUCACCACAGUGAGGGGGACACUCACCAGAAGGGACUGCGUCAAUCCCCUCCUGCAGUCUGAGCACUGUCGGCAUGCAACUCGGCACAGAAGGUUUUGUCAUUUGGACUGUAAUAAAUCCCACUUCCUGAACUCUGUGCCCCUCCGGGUUCUACAUCAACCACACCGUCCGUCCCUGCAUGUACCCCUGCCCUGUCGGGGCCCAGUGCACCUGCAGCCGCCAUCGGAGGCCUCAGGUGCUGCUCACGUGUGCUAAUGAAAAGUGCUCUCCGGCCACCUUGGAGGACAGGGGCAAUGUGCUCCAGCUAAGGCAGCGGGGCUCAACCUUGACUGCACCCGAGAAUCCCCUGGGAGCUUUCACAAUCCUGAUGACCAGGCUGCAGACCAGACCAAUUAAACUACAGUCUCUGGGGGUAGGAGCCAGGUAUCAGGACUUUUUUUUUUUUUAAGUUGGCCAAAGGAUUUCCAGUGUGCAGUCAAGUUUAAGAAGACCUGGGACUGCAGAGGGCGUCCUUUCUUUUCUUUUCUCCUUCUUUCCCCCUCCCUUCCUUCCUUCUUCCUUCCUUCCUGUCACCCUCUCUCCCUCCUUCCUUCACACUGUUUACUGAAGCAUCUUAUUCUAUGGUCAAAGCCCAGGGUUUACAGACAGACCAUCCUCACUUUGAAUUCCAGCUUGGCUGCCACUGCGUGUGCAAAUCCUUUCACUUCUUCGAAGUUUGGCUUUCUCAUUCUCAUAAAGCAGGGAACAUUAAAGGACUUACCCCCAGAGAAUCCUUGUGAGGAUUAAAUAUCACAGAUGAAGUGUUUACCAUGGUACCUAGAAAUUAGUAUGUGCUCAAUAAAUGUGCAUGGAUUUUCUUCUAGCUAUUAUUGUAGUUUCCCGAGAGCUAUGCUAGAUGUGGGGACGACAAAAGAAAGAACACAGGCUUAAUGUUUGUUCGCACACAACUGACUCUCUUCCCAUUCAGUCCUUAGCUGGAGAAUAGCCUUGCACUGCUGGCCAGGACAGGGUGGACGGAGAUUUCUCUUAAUUAGUACCUAUCAUUCACUGAACACACCCAAUGUUCAAUCAUAUCACAACCAUACAGGGCACUGUCCUGAACGUGUACUGAACGUGAUGUCAUCAGUGGCUCUGUGCCAACCCGGAGCAGAAAAUGCUAUUGAUAUUUACAUCUUGCAGGUGGAGAAUCAGAGGCUCAGAGCAAUUCACCAUUUCACCCAUGGUCACAUGGGUAGAUACAAACCCAAGCUUUCAAGCACCACGUGGCUCUUCUUCCUACGUGGAUCUGGGGUAUGCCUGCAAGGGAAUUAUGAGGGCUGGCUAGAAUAAGGAGGAUAAAGCAGGUCCUCUAAGCUGGAGCACGUUAGGGGAAGGACACAACCAAACUGGGGUGAAGCCACGGUAUUGAGGGGCCAGGCACAAAGGGGAAUAAGUAUGGCAAAUGGAGGUGAAGAGGGAGGGGUCUGGAUGGGUCCAGGAGUAGGGGAACAGUGAUGAGUGGGCAGCGAGUCAAUUUAAAGUGUCCAGGGCAGAAUGGGAUGUUCUCAAUUCAUAGAAAUCUUGGCCAAGUCCGGGCGCCUGGGUGGCUCAGUCGGUUAAGCAUCCGACUUUAGCUCAUGUCAUGAUCUCGAGGCUCAUGUCCGUGAGUUCGAGCCCCA